rnacentral:rRNA from 1 species
UACGUAGGGUGCAAGCGUUGUCCGGAAUUAUUGGGCGUAAAGAGCUUGUAGGCGGUUUGUCGCGUCUGCUGUGAAAUUUCGGGGCUCAACCCCGAACUUGCAGUGUGUACGGACAGACUAGAGGUAGGUAGGGGAGAAUGGAAUUCCCGGUGUAGCGGUGAAAUGCGCAGAUAUCGGGAGGAACACCGGUGGUGAAGGCGGUUCUCUGGGCCUUACCUGACGCUGAGGAGCGAAAGCGUGGGGAGCGAACAGG